rnacentral:lncRNA from 1 species
GUUGCGUACACUGCGCAUGGCUGGCUAUUUCCUAAUGGACAGACACUUGCUGGCUGCCUUAGCGAAGUGCAGAAAAGAUGGCGCCGGACAGUGUUCUGCGUAGUGACCGCGUAGUGACCGCGCAGCGACGCACAGCAUCCGUCUUAUAAGAAAGCUAAGUAAAGGUGGAAUACUCGAUUAUAUGGAGAGUAUCUUCAUUUAUAAUAUUCAUUUCAAGAUAUUCCUCAGUGCCGCCCGAAAUGUGGAUGCUCAUAGUCUCGCUCUACCGACCGCCGCGUAUGUGCAUUGUGAUUGCUGGUGCCGUGGGCUCUGAAUGCUGCCACGACGGAUUCAAGUUUUUGUACAGCAUGCGCAUCAUGGUGGAGCAAGUCGGGCUGACCACCUGUGCAGCAUGGCAAAGCCAAGUUGAGCAGUCCUGCAAGCGCACCCUGGCAGUGCCAAGUUGGUCAGCCUGGUGCGUGCAUCCUGGCGGAGUGGGUCAGCCUGUGGAAUAAGUCCAGCACCAGCCAAACCAGACCCAAGGAGGAAGCAGCCCGGUGCCAGCCAAGUAGACCGGAGGAGGAAUCACCCCGGCGCCAACCCAGACCGGAGGAGGAAGCCCGGCCCGCCCCAUGUGCUAGUCCAGAGGAAGUCCAUCAACCCUUAAAAUUCAUCAAAGGGGGUGUGGCUACCAGCAUGGUUCUAUGGCUGAUCCAGGUACCCAGUUUCCAACUCCCCCACCCUUAGCUGCCAUAACUCAAAAUAUUUCCCACAAGCUUUUGGGGGUUGUAGCUAUCAACACAAAACAACUGUAUAGGCAUCUGGUUUCUACCUCAGAGACUAGAGUAGGGAAGAUACAGGUGGAAGCUCAUUUCCUUUCACACUGGCUAUACCCACCACCCUGAAUACAGAGGUUCAAGCUAGGAAUAGACAACGCCACCUACUGGAAGCAAGGAAAACAGUGUUCUGAGAGACUUUUUUUUCUCUUUCUUUCUCUCUUCUCUCUCUUCCACAACUUCAACAUAUGUGAAACCAAGAACUGUGCAUGAACAACCGAAUUACCAAAGUAAUAUAAUAUAGAGGAAUUGCAUAUACCCCACCUUCCCCCCAUUUUUUAUUUAUUUCUAUCUUACUUUCCUUUUCCUUCUCUCUUAUUUCUCUUUUCUUCCUUGUUAUUUUUUCUUUUUUUUUUCAUUCAUAUUCCCUCUAUGCUACUUUCAAUCUCCUAACUUUUGCUAUCUAUACAUAGGGUAACUAUCUAAAUACAGAUAGGAGGUUGAGUCUAUACAUUCUUCCAUAAAUUACCAGUCUAUUGGUUAGAGUUCUCCAAAGGUGCUAAGUUAGUUUAACCUCAUACCCUCACUCCUUUCCCUCUAAGUAUAGCAUCCUUCAUCUAAAAUUAAGUUUUCUAUAUGCCACCAGAUAUGGUAUGCCUUUUAUGAAACUAAUGACUAUAUUCUUAAGUAAGAAUUAAAACCAAUAUCUAUAGACUUAGAAUCUAACUAUAAAUGUAUUAAUAAUGAAAACUUGUGCUUAGAUGAUGUACUGUU